AAGUCGUAACAAGGUAUCCGUAGGUGAACCUGCGGAUGGAUCAUUAACACUAAAAACAAAACCUUGCUUUCCUAAAAACAAAGCAUAACCCCAUAACUUUGCGAACUUGUCAACGGGGGAGGGGAAGAGGAGGAAGCAAUUUCUCCACCCCUUUUCCGUUCGUUUUUCUCCCUUUUUCACCUUAUUAUUAAACCCCAAAACAAAAACAACAAACAAAACUUGACUAAGACAAAAACAAAUGAGAAAACAAAAUAAUACAACUUUUAACGACGGAUAUCUUGGCUCUC
rnacentral:misc_RNA from 1 species